rnacentral:rRNA from 1 species
GAUGAACGCUAGCGGCAGGCUUAACACAUGCAAGUCGAGGGGCAGCACGUCUUCGGAUGGUGGCGACUGGCGCACGGGUGCGUAACGCGUAUACAAUCUACCUUUUACAGGGGCAUAGCCCGGGGAAACCCGGAUUAAUAUCCCAUGGUACCAUUGAGGGGCAUCUCUUAAUGGUUAAAGCUUUGGCGGUGAAAGAUGAGUAUGCGUUCUAUUAGCUAGAUGGUAAGGUAACGGCUUACCAUGGCUUUGAUAGAUAGGGGUCCUGAGAGGGAGAUCCCCCACACUGGUACUGAGACACGGACCAGACUCCUACGGGAGGCAGCAGUGAGGAAUAUUGGACAAUGGGCGAGAGCCUGAUCCAGCCAUGCCGCGUGCAGGAAGACGGCCCUAUGGGUUGUAAACUGCUUUUAUACGGGAAGAAACACCCCUUGUGAAGGGACUUGACGGUACCGUAUGAAUAAGGAUCGGCUAACUCCGUGCCAGCAGCCGCGGUAAUACGGAGGA